rnacentral:tRNA from 1 species
UGCCUCGUAGUUAAACUGGAUAUAACGGGUGCCUCCUAAGCGCCAGUCGUGAGUUCGAGUCUCGCCGGGGCAGCCA